UUCCCUUAGGCCGUCUACGGGAAUGAACGGACUAGCGUUACCAGGCGUUAACACACUAGCAAAGUCGAGGGGAAACGGAAUGAGAGAGCUUGCUCUCUUAGUGUCGACCGGCGCACGGUGAGUAACGACGUAUCCAACCUCGCCUCUGACCAAGGGAUAACCCGUCGAAAGUCGGACUAAUACCUUAUGCAGUCGUCGGAAGUCAUCUGAUGACGCGAAAGAUUUCAUCGGUGAGGGAUGGGGAUGCGUCUGAUUAGCUUGUUGGCGGGGUAACGGCCCACCAAGGCAACGAUCAGUAGGGGUUCUGAGAGGAAGGUCCCCCACAUUGGAACUGAGACACGGUCCAAACUCCUACGGGAGGCAGCAGUGAGGAAUAUUGGUCAAUGGGCGCGAGCCUGAACCAGCCAAGUAGCGUGCAGGAUGACGGCCCUAUGGGUUGUAAACUGCUUUUAUGCGGGGAUAAAGUGAGGGACGUGUCCUUCAUUGCAGGUACCGCAUGAAUAAGGACCGGCUAAUUCCGUG
rnacentral:rRNA from 1 species